rnacentral:tRNA from 1 species
GCUGGCGUAGCUCAACUGGUAGAGCAGUUGAUUUGUAAUCAACAGGUUGCGGGUUCAAGUCCUGUCGCCAGCU